rnacentral:misc_RNA from 1 species
UGGCUCUCGCAUCGAUGAAGAACGCAGCGAAAUGCGAUAAGUAAUGUGAAUUGCAGAAUUCAGUGAAUCAUCGAAUCUUUGAACGCACCUUGCACUCCUUGGUAUUCCGAGGAGUAUGCCUGUUUGAGUGUCAUUAAAUUCUCAACCAUAUAGAGUUUAUUCUCUGUAUGGCUUGGAUUUUGGGAUCUGCGGGUUCUUCAUUGAAUCGGCUGUCCUCAAAUGUAUUAGCAAGACUUUUGUUGCUAACUUCCAGUGUGAUAAUUAUCUACGCUGUUAGCGAGCUGCAUGAAUAGAGUUCUGCUUCUAAUCGUCUUCACAGACAACUUAUGACAAUCUGACCUCAAAUCAGGUAGGACUACCCGCUGA